rnacentral:rRNA from 1 species
GACGAACGCUGGCGGCGUGCUUAACACAUGCAAGUCGAACGGAAAGGCCCUGCUUUUGUGGGGUGCUCGAGUUGCGAACGGGUGAGUAACACGUGAGUAACCUGCCCUUGACUUUGGGAUAACUUCAGGAAACUGGGGCUAAUACCGGAUAGGAGCUCCUGCUGCAUGGUGGGGGUUGGAAAGUUUCGGCGGUUGGGGAUGGACUCGCGCCUUAUCAGCUUGUUGGUGGGGUAGUGGCUGACCAAGGCUUUGAAGGGUAGCCGGCCUGAGAGGGGGACCGGCCACAUUGGGACUGAGAUACGGCACAGACUCCUACGGGAGGCAGCAGUGGGGAAUAUUGCACAAUGGGCGGAAGCCUGAUGCAGCAACGCCGCGUGCGGGAAGACGGCCUUCGGGUUGUAAACCGCUUUCGCCUGUGACGAAGCGUGAGUGACGGUAAUGGGUAAAGAAGCACCGGCUAACUACGUG